AGUGAACGCUGGCGGUAGGCCUAACACAUGCAAGUCGAACGGCAGCACAGUAAGAGCUUGCUCUUACGGGUGGCGAGUGGCGGACGGGUGAGGAAUACAUCGGAAUCUACUUUUUCGUGGGGGAUAACGUAGGGAAACUUACGCUAAUACCGCAUACGACCUACGGGUGAAAGCAGGGGAUCUUCGGACCUUGCGCGAUUGAAUGAGCCGAUGUCGGAUUAGCUAGUUGGCGGGGUAAAGGCCCACCAAGGCGACGAUCCGUAGCUGGUCUGAGAGGAUGAUCAGCCACACUGGAACGGGGACACGGUCCAGACUCCUACGGGAGGCAGCAGUGGGGAAUAUUGGACAAUGGGGGCAAGCCUGAUCCAGCCAGACCGCGUGGGUGAAGAAGGCCUUCGGGUUGUAAAGCCCUUUUGUUGGGAAAGAAAAGCAGCAGGUUAAUACCCCGCUGUUCUGACGGUACCCAAAGAAUAAGCACCGGCUAACUUCGUG
rnacentral:rRNA from 1 species